UAUGCCGACCACCCCGUUUUUCUUCGCUUUCUUUUUUAUCUUCCGAUGCUAGGAGGCUGGCGCGCGUCGUGUGAGAAAUAAAGCGAAGACGAACCGCAAAGCCUCCUGAACCAGUGGGCUUUUUUUGU
rfam:Candidatus Sodalis pierantonius str. SOPE, complete genome.